GUCUGGGUGGCUCAGUUGGUGAAGCAUCUGACUUCAGCUCAGGUCGUGAUCUCACGGUACUUGUGAGUUCCAGCCCCACCUCGGGCU
rnacentral:tRNA from 1 species